GACGAACGCUGGCGGCGUGCCUAAUACAUGCAAGUCGAACGCAGUGGGGACGGUUGAGUAACACGUGGGUAACCUCCCAUCAGAGGGGAUAACACUUGGAAACAGGUGCUAAACCGCUACUGAUGGAUGGACCCGCGGGGCAGUAGCUAGUGGGUGAGGUAACGGCUCACCAAGGCCACGAUGCAUAGCCGGCCGGAGAGGGUGAUCGGCCACACUGGGACUGAGACACGGCCCAGACUCCUACGGGAGGCAGCAGUAGGGAAUAUUCGGCAAUGGACGAAAGUCUGACCGAGCAACGCCGCGUGAGUGAAGAAGGUUUUCGGAUUGUAAAACUCUGUUGUUAGAGAAGCGGUAUCUAAACAGAAAGCCACGGCUAACUACGUGCCAGCAGCCGCGGUAAUAC
rnacentral:rRNA from 1 species